UACGGAGGGUGCAAGCGUUAUCCGGAAUCACUGGGUUUAAAGGGCGCGUAGGCGGGAAGGUAAGUCAGUGGUGAAAUCCCCGAGCUUAACUUGGGAACUGCCGUUGAUACUAUCUAUCUUGAAUAUCGUGGAGGUAAGCGGAAUAUGUCAUGUAGCGGUGAAAUGCUUAGAUAUGACAUAGAACACCCAUUGCGAAGGCAGCUUGCUGCACGAUCAUUGACACUGAGGCACGAAAGCGUGGGGAGCAAACAGG
rnacentral:rRNA from 1 species